GGUUCGUUGGCGCAAUGGUAGCGCACAGCCCUCCUAUUUACAAACACGAAGGUCAGGCUGGGGUUGUGGGUUCGAGUCCCAUGCGAAUCG